rnacentral:rRNA from 1 species
CGGCAACAGCUCAAAUUUGAAAUCUGGCCCUCUCAGGGUCCGAGUUGUAAUUUGGAGAGGAUGCUUCGGGUGUGGCCCCGGUCUAAGUUCCUUGGAACAGGACGUCACAGAGGGUGAGAAUCCCGUACGUGCCCGGUGGCCGCCCCCGUGUGAAGCUCCUUCGAC